UGCUAUAUGAAAUAGAUAUAUAGUAAUCUCCUGNCCAAUGAUUUUUGAAUGGCCGCGGUAUCCUAACCGUGCAAAGGUAGCAUAAUAAUUUGCCCAUUAAUUGUGGGCUAGAAUGAAGGGGGUAACGAAAUAAGAACUGUCUCAAUAAUAUUAACUAAAAAUUAUUUUAAAAGUGAAGAAACUUUUAUACUAUUAAAGGACAAGAAGACCCUAUAGAGCUUUAUCAUACAACAGUAUAUUAUAUACUUUAAGAUUCGGUUGGGGCGACCUAGGAUAAAUCAUCCUAUUACACAUAGAUAUAUUCAUCACAUCACUGAUCCAUUUUAUGAACAUAAAUCAAGCUACCUUAGGGAUAACAGGCUAAUCUUUCUCUAGAGUUCUUAUCAACAGAAAGGAUUGGCACCUCGAUGUUGGCUUAGAUUCCAUUGUGACGCAGACGUUGCAAAAAGGUGGUUUGUUCAACCUAUCACCAUCU
rnacentral:rRNA from 1 species